rnacentral:piRNA from 1 species
UAGGUCAAUGUGACAGGCAUAUGUCAGA